rnacentral:pre_miRNA from 1 species
AGUUAGUGGUAAAGCCCUUGCAGUUGGUUAUGAAAUCUUUGCAGGAUCUUUAGUCACUAGCUGC